rnacentral:rRNA from 1 species
AAAUUGAAGAGUUUGAUCAUGGCUCAGAUUGAACGCUGGCGGCAGGCCUAACACAUGCAAGUCGAACGGUAACAGAAAGCAGCUUGCUGCUUUGCUGACGAGUGGCGGACGGGUGAGUAAUGUCUGGGAAACUGCCUGAUGGAGGGGGAUAACUACUGGAAACGGUGGCUAAUACCGCAUAACGUCGCAAGACCAAAGAGGGGGACCUUCGGGCCUCUUGCCAUCAGAUGUGCCCAGAUGGGAUUAGC